GGGGAGCAUGGAUUUUGUUUGUUUUUUGUUUUGUUGCUUUUUUAAAAACGUUAAGUAAUGUGCCUUAGGAAGUAUCUGAAACUGAGCAUUUGAGGAUUUUUAUUUGAGCAUUUGAUUUCUCAAAAAGCUUUACAGCAUACCACUACUCUAUUCCUAGCAAACACUGUGCAACUGUUGCUAUCAGUAAACUAUCAAGUUAUUUAAGUAACCUUUUUAAUCCAGUCAUUAGCUUUGAUGAACUCGCAUCUUUCUUCAUACAGAAAGUCUGUAAAGGAAGGAGACAAAAUUAUACUUGUCUGUUGAAGUCUGUCUUUGAAUGCUCUUUGCAUAGAUACCAUCCAAGUGCUUCUGUUUGUGUAGUUACUUAGAUUACAGUUCUAUCUUUAUGUUCCUUAAAAUUGAAGGCGAUGAAUACAGGAGGGAAUGAAGAGAGAGGACAUUACAGCUCCUGUUUCUGUUAUUUAUUUUAUUUUUUUUUCAGCUUUUGAAGGAUUACAGAAGCAGUAAAUAUUUCAUUUUGAAAUGUUUUCUCUCUUCUAGCUCUGGGGAAGACUUCCUCAGAUAGCUUUUACUUUCUUUCCAGUCCAUGGGAUCUAAGACUUCUGUGAUGAUCAGGCUAUACAAACAGAACCUUUGGACUGGCAAAUUGCACCCAUCAUUGUUGGGGUGCAUCUGGAGACUGAAGCAGAAACAGGCAAGAACACUGAGUGAAAAUAAGCACUCCAGAAAAGAUAAUGGGAACUUGAACUGUAUUUUGAGAGCUGUUCACAGUGCAAAAUCAGAAAUAAGAAUGUUAUUUCUUUUUGCCUUUCAGGAUCCUGGAUCUGGAGGUGGGGCAAUGAAAUGUGGAAAACAACUCAGAACGUUGACUUUGAACUCAAGAACUGCUGCUUGAUGGAGAAGGUCAACUUAGAGCAGCAGCAUUCAACCUUCUUCAGUUUAAAGGACUGGGAAUCUCUGAUGUAUCUAGGAGAAUUCAUAGGGGGAAGAAAGAGGAUACUGUGGAAAUUACAGUUUUGGACAUGAACUUGAAGUAGCAAGGUCAGAUCACCAACAAGGGCCCUAAAGAGCUGUAAGAAAACAAUGUGGCAGAAUGUAUGGUAAAAAUAUAAUUUUAGAUCAAUACAAUUUAGAGCAUAUCUAGUUGUAAAUUGUGAUCUUUGGGGAUUUUCCUCCAGUAGUUAAAACAGAACAAAUUAAUUGCAAGAUAGUUUAAAAUGGAAUUACUACAGUUACGUGAUUAGUCUCUGUUGCUCAGUUGCUUGUGGCAGCUGCACAAGAUAGCCAACAAAAUAUUUAUUUAUGCGCAGUUCAGAGAAUUGAAUUUUUCAGUUGGUAUAAUCAUAUAAAGGCAGAUGGGAAUACAGAAGGUUAGAUCAAAAAACAUUGAGAGGAUGGAAAGAUUGAGGGCAAAAAUAAACAAAAUGUAUCAGCCUGCUCA
rnacentral:lncRNA from 1 species